rnacentral:rRNA from 1 species
GUGGGGAAUUUUGCGCAAUGGGCGAAAGCCUGACGCAGCAACGCCGCGUGGAGGAUGAAGGCCUUCGGGUCGUAAACUCCUGUCAGGGGGGACGAAAGCCGCGAAAGCGGAUUGACUGUACCCUCUGAGGAAGCCACGGCUAACUCCGUGCCAGCAGCCGCGGUAAUACGGAGGUGGCAAGCGUUGUUCGGAAUUACUGGGCGUAAAGGGCGCGUAGGCGGCUUUGCAAGUCAGAUGUGAAAGCCCCGGGCUUAACUUGGGAAUUGCAUCUGAAACUGCUUUGCUUGAGUCCUGGAGGGGGUAGUGGAAUUCCCAGUGUAGCGGUGAAAUGCGUAGAUAUUGGGAGGAACACCUGCGGCGAAGGCGGCUACCUGGACAGUGACUGACGCUGAGGCGCGAAAGCUAGGGGAGCAAACGGGAUUAGAAACCCCAGUAGUCC